rnacentral:rRNA from 1 species
UCGCCUGUUUAUCAAAAACAUGGUCUUUUGUUUAUAUAUAAGAUCUGGCCUGCCCAAUGAUUAAAAUUUAAUGGCUGCAGUAUUUUGACUGUACAAAGGUAGCAUAAUCAUUUGUCUUUUAAUUGAGGUCUAGUAUGAAGGGUUGGAUGAAAAAUUUACUUUCUUUAUUUUAUAUUAAAAAAAUUAAUUUCUAAUUAAAAAAGAUUAGAUAAUUUUAUAGGACGAGAAGACCCUAUAGAGCUUUAUUAAUAAAAUAUUAUUUUUGCUUGUUAAUGACUAAAAUGUAUAUUGAUUAUUAAUUAUGUUGGGGUGACAAAAAAAAUUUAAUAACUUUUUUUAUUAUAUCAUUUAUAUAUGAAUAUAUGAUCCUUUAAUAAGGAAUUAAGAUUAAGCUACCUUAGGGAUAACAGCGUUAUUAUUUUAGAGAGUUCUAAUUGAAAAAAUAGUUUGCGACCUCGAUGUUGGAUUAAAAUAAGUUUCAGGAGCAAAAAAUUGAAAAUCUAGGUCUGUUCGACCUUUAAAUUUUUACAUGAUCUGAGUUCAAACCGGAGA